rnacentral:rRNA from 1 species
GACGAACGCUGGCGGCGUGCCUAAUACAUGCAAGUCGAACGCAUUUUCUUUCACCGUAGCUUGCUACACCGAAAGAAAAUGAGUGGCGAACGGGUGAGUAACACGUGGGUAACCUGCCCAUCAGCGGGGGAUAACACUUGGAAACAGGUGCUAAUACCGCAUAAUUCCAUUUACUGCAUGGUAGAUGGAUGAAAGGCGCUUUUGCGUCACUGAUGGAUGGACCCGCGGUGCAUUAGCUAGUUGGUGGGGUAACGGCCUACCAAGGCUGCGAUGCAUAGCCGACCUGAGAGGGUGAUCGGCCACACUGGGACUGAGACACGGCCCAGACGCCUACGGGAGGCAGCAGUAGGGAAUCUUCGGCAAUGGACGCAAGUCUGACCGAGCAACGCCGCGUGAGUGAAGAAGGUUUUCGGAUCGUAAAACUCUGUUGUUAGAAAAGAACAAGGAUGAGAGUGGAAAGUUCAUCCCUUGACGGUAUCUAACCAGAAAGCCACGGCUAACUACGUG